rnacentral:lncRNA from 1 species
CACUCCCAGGGACAAGCCUAUGAGGAGGAAACUCAGGGGAGGAGACGUCCAAGAAAGGGGCUGACUGCAGACAGGUGAAGCGCCCUGGGCUCCUAGGAAAACGGGCCCAGAGCCUGGAUUACCUCACUUUUCCACCGUGCUACUCAGAGCCAAGGAUCCCAGGAUCUGCAUCUGAUCCUGGGCGUCGAUUUCCUGAUGGAUUUCUCUCCCAACGUAAGAAACAAAGCGCCCUCAAAUUGCUGAAGGCUGCUAGAAAGAACGUGGCAUUCAUGGGUUCCGGAUGCCGGGGGCCUCCAGAAAACUACGACUCAUGACUUAAAAAUGGCUUAAUUCGCAAAACAAAAUGCAAUCUUGAAAGCCAAUUUGUCAGACUGCAAAGAAAUUUUACUUGGACAUAGAUAGUUGUUGACCCUGGGUCAGUAUCGGUUUCUUCCCUUGUUCAUUCAUUAUUUCAUACAUUUAACUUCAUAAUUCAAUUUAUUCAUGCUCCCUUUGUUUUAGUCACUGUUAUUUUAAUAUAUGCGUGUGUGAGAGAGAGAUGCUUACCGUACCCAGAGAGUCCUUUUGGAAAGGAAACAGUUACCCAAACUAUUUCUAGAGCAGGGGUUGCACAAAUAACUACAAAAAACGUUCCUUACCCCCUCCCCACCCCCAGCCCAGCUAAUUUAAAUUAAGAGUGAUCGCGUGACCCAAGAGCGCACAAUCCGUGAUGUAGUCAUCAUCCUGUGAGGUGACCUGGAGCAAACAGUUCUCAUCAAACACGGACUCUGAUAGUUAGUAAGCCAAUCAGACACUCCCUUGGAAAUGGAAAGUGGAGAAUGCAGAGACGGAGCUGUCUGAUGUAAGAGAAAGGUUGGAGCUAAGAGAGGGUAAGGCAGAAGGGGCCAAAAUGGGCUUCGGAUGCAAAACAUUUGAGUAAGCAGAAACCAGGAGAAUGUAGCAGCAGGUUGGGUGGAGGCACAAGUGGUAGAAGCCAGUCAAAGACAAGCUGAGACCAAGUGAUGGAAGGAGAGCAACAAAGACCUGCUUCCCAGGGGCAUGUGAGUGUUCAGUUCCCUGGGGCUGCACUGGAUCCAUCCACUUCCCACGCUUCAUUCUAGUCUUUACGGUGAAUACCUGUCUCCUGGGUGUGACUGAAGGAGUCUCUGUUCUGUAAUCUUCAACAAAGGUCUGAUUCUUCUAA